rnacentral:rRNA from 1 species
UACGGGGGGGGCAAGCGUUGUUCGGAAUUACUGGGCGUAAAGGGCUCGUAGGCGGCCAACUAAGUCAUACGUGAAAUCCCUCGGCUUAACCGGGGAACUGCGUCUGAUACUGGAUGGCUUGAGUUCGGGAGAGGGAUGCGGAAUUCCAGGUGUAGCGGUGAAAUGCGUAGAUAUCUGGAGGAACACCAAUUGCGAAGGCAGCUCGCUGGGACGUUACUGACACUGAGACGCGAAAGCGUGGGGAGCAAACAGG